GGAUGAAGAACGCAGCGAAAUGCGAUAAGUAGUGUGAAUUGCAGAAUUCAGUGAAUCAUCGAAUCUUUGAACGCACAUUGCGCCCCUUGGUAUUCCAUGGGGCAUGCCUGUUCGAGCGUCAUUUGUACCUUCAAGCUCUGCUUGGUGUUGGGUGUUUGUCUCGCCUCUGCGUGUAGACUCGCCUCAAAACAAUUGGCAGCCGGCGUAUUGAUUUCGGAGCGCAGUACAUCUCGCGCUUUGCACUCAUAACGACGACGUCCAAAAGUACAUUUUUACACUCUUGACCUCGGAUCAGGUAGGGAUACCCGCUGAACUUAAGCAUAUCAAUAAGCGGAGGA
rnacentral:misc_RNA from 1 species